UACGAAGGGGGCUAGCGUUGUUCGGAAUUACUGGGCGUAAAGCGCGCGUAGGCGGCUUUGCAAGCCAGGGGUGAAAUGCCUGAGCUCAACUUGGGAAAUGCCUUUGGGACUGUGAGUCUUUGAGUACUGGAGAGGUGAGUGGAAUUCCCAGUGUAGAGGUGAAAUUCGUAGAUAUUGUGAAGAACACCGGUGGCGAAGGCGGCUCACUGGCCAGUUUCUGACGCUGCAGCGCGAAAGCGUGUGGAUCAAACAGG
rnacentral:rRNA from 1 species